GUAGGGUGCGAGCGUUAAUCGGAAUUACUGGGCGUAAAGCGUGCGCAGGCGGUUGUGCAAGACAGAUGUGAGAUCCCCGGGCUCAACCUGGGAAUUGCACUUGUGACUGUACGGCUAGAGUGUGUCAGAGGGGGGUAGAAUUCCACGUGUAGCAGUGAAAUGCGUAGAGAUGUGGAGGAAUACCGAUGGCGAAGGCAGCCCCCUGGGAUAACACUGACGCUCAUGCACGAAAGCGUGGGGAGCAAACAGGAUUAGAUACCCUGGUAGUCCCACGCCCCUAAACGAUGUCAACUAGUUGUCGGGUCUUAAUUGACUUGGUAACGCAGCUAACGCGUGAAGUUGACCGCCUGGGGAGUACGGUCGCAAGAUUA
rnacentral:rRNA from 1 species